rnacentral:misc_RNA from 1 species
GUGAAUCAUCGAAUUUUUGAACGCAAAUUGCACUCUCCGGGUUUCCGGGAGAGGAUGCCUGUUUGAGGGUCAGCCUAAAAAAAAUCGACAUUGUUGCUGUUAUUUAAUGGUGACGUUCGUCGUAGUUUGGGUUAUCUUAAACCUUUUUUUUUUUUGGUUUUAGUUACGUAAAUUUUUUGUACAUGAUUUCUUUUUUUUUUCUAAG